rnacentral:lncRNA from 1 species
CCACCGCAAUACACAUGCAUAUUCAGAGUACAGAGAAAGGCACCCAGUACAUUCUGUCCUUAAAGACAAUGUUUCAACAGUCCCAAAAGAACCUAAGUUGUUCUAGAGUCCUUUAUGUAACCAGGUAAUGCACAUUUAAAAUUAAUUUCUUUAAUGGAUUCUUACUUGAUUUACAAAAGACUCCCCCACUCCCCAACAAAGACCCCACCAUGCUGGUGGCUGCUGAUGUCCCCUAUAAAAUACAUUAUAAAAAGAAAUAAAAAAUUAUCAUAUGUGAAUCGAAGGGUUGCUUUCAUAUAGCAAUUUUGGGGACAUUCUGUAACAGCAAAGGGCUUGGGCUAAUCAGCACAGGCCUCCCACUCCUGCAUUCCAUCUGACUCAACGCUGCUCCCCGGCCUACCUAAUUACCCGGGCUUCUGGUUUCCUGGAGGACAAAAAGCAGGCGGCAAGUAUUCUGGGUAAAAUCCUCCCAAAGUCUUCCCCCACCGUCCCCCCAGUGGGGGACUAUGGGUUACUGUGAUCAAGAGACACCUGAACAUAAAACACAACUACACUUCUACCAAAAUCAAACUCAAAUCCACACAACAAAACAGAAUUGAGCAAUCUUACCAGGGAUUGAAAACUGAGGGUGUGAGAUGCUGGGCUGAGGGCCAGGAGGAGGAGAAGGAGGAGAGGGAGGGAAAGCACAGAGUGGGAGGGAGUGAGGGCUCCAGGGAUGGCUGCCAGGGCCUUCCAUGGCCACGAUCUCUCACAUCUCCUCGCCAGUGUGGCAACCCCUCCAGCAGCUGGGACUUACCUUUGUACUGGGGAGUGAAUUUGCGCAUCUCAGCAGGGAGGGUCUCGUAGAACUGAUGUUCCCUUGGGACCAGGGGCUUGCACAGGGUUGUCUCAUUGAAGCGGAGCACGCAUGAGUGCCCCCCGACCUGGUGGACAAAGGGCUCCAGAAGGACGCCUUUGGCGCGGGGCUCCACAUCCAUGGCGGGGAGAUGGGGGAGGCAGCGGAGUCCAGCGGCCAGUACGUCUUCUGUCUGUUGUUUGUCCGUGUGUCCCUCUCGUCUUGGCUCCUUGGCUUGUUCUGGCCAGGAUGCUCUGCUGGAAGCAAACAAAAUGAUGACAUGGGGGUUCGAAGUAGCGUGGGAAGUGCCUUAGAGCUGCUCACCCUGCUCCUUCAGCAGAAAGACAAAGAC